rnacentral:lncRNA from 1 species
ACAGAGUCGAGAGAGAGGGAGAGAGGGGUCCAUGGCGACUUGGAGCUCUCCUAUCCGGCGGCUUAGUUCACUAGGGUGGUCGUCAGGCGUCCAACGUUCUUCCUCCAGCUGCCCCCUGGCUAUCCCCGCACGGAAGUCUGCAGCAUCUCUCGGGCACCGCACCCACCUGGCCCCCAAUUUUCCCCCGCCGGCAUUUCUGGCCUGAUCCUGUGAUUUGGUAUGUUCGUCAAUUUUGGCAUGAUCCUCCUUCCUGUUGUUAGUUGUGUGUACUGUUUUAUGGUUAGAUCUAUCCCCUUUCGUCUGUUGAGUGUGGUAUUUCCCCUGUAGCUAGUUUAGAUGCAUGUGGUUUGCGUUGUUUACUGUCAUUGAAUCUGGUGAAUUCGGCUGGUUGAUAUGCGCCUGGAUUUUCCCUUGCAGCUAGGUAUUUCAAUUUGGACACGUUGAAAUCAUGUUCAGUGAGUUCAAUCCCCUGGAACACGCUGGAUUCUCUAGUGUUUUAUAUACCCUGUGCCGUUUGCUGAUGUAGGUUUGUAUGUAUUGUUUCAUUGCCUAUCUAUCACUAUGAGAUUGCUAUAGAUUGUCCAUGUCCUGAUUGCCUGGUUUAAUGGGGGAUUGCUUUGGCUAUUUGUUAGUGUAAUUUUAGUGUUUUGUAAGUCAAUUUACACUGCAUUUUUUACUGUAAUUCUUUGCUGAUUUACAUUGCAUUAGUGGAUUUACUGUGUAUUUUUCAGUGGAUUUGCACUGUAAUCCUUAGUGGAAUUACAGUGUAUUUUCUUAGUGGAUUUACACUGUAAUUUUAUUUUGGAAAUACACUGUAAUUCUUACUGGAUUUUUAGUGGCUUUUACAGUGUAAUUCUCAGUGGAUUUACAAAAUGUAAUAGUUGUUUUUACAACGUAAUUUUCAGUGGAUCGGCACUGUAAUUCUUGAUUGAUCUUGUAAUUCGUUAGUGGAGUUACAGUGUAAGUCUCAGUUAAUUUACAGUGUAAUUCCUAGUGCUUUUUCGACUGUAUUUAGUUGAUUUUUACAGCGUAAUUUUUCAGUGGAUUUACACUGUAAUUUCUAGUGCAUUUUCUUAGUGGAUUCACAAAUGUAAUACUGCAUUUGCUAGUGGUUUUUACAGCGUAAUCUUCAGUGGACAGACACUGUAAUUCUUGAGUGCUCUUGUAAUGCAAUUCUUUAGUGGAUUUACAGUGUAAGUCUCACUUGAUUUACAGUGUAUUUCCUAGUGUUUUUGGACUGUAUUUAGAUGAUUUUUACAGUGUAAUUCGUCAGUGGAUUUACACUGUAAUUCUUAGUGCAUUUUGCAAUGUAUUAGUUGAUUCCAAGUGGAUUUUUACAGUGUAAAUCUCAGUGUAGUCACGCCGUAAUUCUUUUGUGGUUUUACUCUGUAAACUCUUACUGCCAUGGUACUGUAUUUACUUAUCUUAUCGGUGAUUUUUACACUGGUUCAUAUUGGAUUUUUUGUGUGAUGUACUGGAAGCGUGAGCUUUUUGGUGGCUCUCGCUUGCCUUUGUGGCUCUGAAAUAAGAUGAUGGCUGAUAUGAGCCCGUGUCUACAUGCCCAGACCUUGCCAAUGGGUGUGUGAAGUGUGGCUUGCAUCCACGUGGCGGCUUGCUUGUUUCGAUUGAUGUGUGCUUGCAAUGAGUUUUGAAAUACUAGUAGUACUUAAGAAGCAGUUUUUGUCUAUGUGGCUGCAGUGUAAAUGUGAUCCUCUCCUCUUACGAGUGUUUGGCAUGUAGUAUUUUGAACUAAAAAGCACUUGUUUCUGCCUGUGAGCUUGCUAAGUAUACAUUUCAUAUGAGCAGGCAACCCUUUACAUUCCAUAUUUUCUAGGUGGUUGUUUAUGCUUUUCAGUUUUGUGUUCUUUCAGUUAUUGGUUCAGCUAGUGCUUGUUUAUGUUGUUUGGGAGAGGGAGUUGUUGAAAUUUUCAGGGCCAUUUACGGUGGAAUUACAGCAGUUUUCAAUGUUGGUUCACUGUAGAUCACAUUGUAAUCCAACUGCAAUUAUACUGUAAUUCAACUGUCAUUUGCACUAUAAUACUACUGCUUUUUCCUCUGUAAAUUUAAUGUCAAAUGUCACUGGGAAUUAUAGUAGUUCUAUGUAUAUUGCACUAUAUUUGUGAUGUAAUUAGAUUGUAUAUUACAUUGUAAAUCUUUUGCAAUUGCACUGUAAAACUCACAACAUUUCUACUGUAGUUGUAUUUCUACUAUAAAUUAGACUGUAAAUCUAUUCAAAUUACACUGCAGAUCACACGAUUAAUCUACUUGUUACACUACAAUUCUACUAUAUUUGUUACAAUGUAAAUUCCAUUGUAAAUCUACUAUAAAUUAUACUGUAAAUCUUCUGAAAUUACAGUGUAAAACACACUUUGAAUUUACUCUAUUGUAUUUAAAACAUCGUAAUUGUAUUUGUAAAUUACAUUCUAAUUGUACUGUGUUUAUACUGUAUUUUACACUGCAAUUCUACUGUAAAUCUACUGUAAAAUACAGUGUAAUUUAAACUGUAAAACUGUCUUCUACUGUAAUUCAACUCCGAAUGUAUUGUUUCAGAGUGACUUAAAUGUGUGAGUUCAGUUCAUCAUGUGUGAUGGUUACGUUUUUAUCUUCAAAGUUUACUGUAGUUGUUCCUUUUUUCCUGUAAUUGUUACUGGACUAAAAUGAUUUACUGUUUCCGUUUUACUUUGCUUACAGUCCAACUAUGUGAUAGUUUCCUGUACUGAGAUCUUAUAUUUCUGCUACAUUUAUCAGUAUAAUUUCUGCUUCUCUUUGCCAUUCAUGUUUGAAAGUUCUAAUGUAUAUAUGGUUUGCAGUUCUUUAGUAGUUUUAUUUUCCCUGUAAUCUUAAUGUAAUAUGUUUCCUGAUGUACACUUGUCUUUGUUUCUUUCUUUCAAUUUGGAGAAGCAUUUCAUGUCUUCUCUUUCUACCUUCAUAAAUGAGGGUAGUUGUUUUUCACUAUAGUCUUUUGCAUGAGUUACAAGAUCUGGUAGUCAUAUGCACAUGGCUAGAUAUGGUAUACAAAACUCAUUUUCUCUGUAAAGUUCGAUGAAAUUAUGAUCUAGAUGUGCUUCUAGUGUCUACUAGCUGUUAGAAGUGCUUCCAUUAUCUACCGGCUGCAGUCUCUGAACUAUUUUAUGUUCUCCUUUUUUUGUAACUUGUAACAGAAAAUUAAGGAUUCAUAAACAUCAUGUUGAUAUGAGGGAAUGCUGCAGUUGGAUUGAUGUACUUGACAGAAGCAUCAGGGACAGAGGUGAUUUAGGGAGGGCACCUGACAUGUGAUUAUUCCAUAGUGUAAAUUAGACUGGUCGUUUCAGUAACUUCAUUUUUUUACAUGUGAGAAUAGUGUCAGUGGCUGCACUUCCUAGUUUAGUUCAGGUGUUCGCUUUUACUGUAGUCUUCCUUACGCUUUUGUAUUUGGGCCUCAUGACGUUGUUAUAAGGAAGAGACUUGACACUGUUAGUGGACAGGAACUCUUGUCAAGUUGUAGUUGGUUGAAAAAAACGACUGAACUCCAAUUGGUUUUCAUCCGGCUGUAAAGUAGACAGUCCCUAUUUAUUUGCCCAAUAACCUUAUCCAUAUUGACGGCCAAUUUUGCUCUAAACAACAAAGCGGUGCAUAAGCAUUAGAAUACUUACCGUCAAAAAAAAAAAGCAUUAGAAUACUUAAAAGUCUUCUAUGCACCACAUGUUCCCUAUCCUCUUCGGUGGCACUGUACUUCGCCUUUUUCCUCAAAGUAAAUUGUAAGACCAAUUCCACUACCUCACAAGAGCAGCUAUGCAGUUGACUCCCUCUCCUACUUCAGAAAUGCACUAUAUUGAUAAUGCCAUGAGGUGAGAUUGGGGGGCGUCAGAAAUUUCAAUUUUAGGAGAAGAGAAAACAAAACGCACCGAAACUCCCACCCACUGAACUACAAAUCCGCACGCUGCACCUCCUCUGUCCCUCCAGCGAGCUGCAAAUGGCAGCGUGGCCAACUACACAGUGUCGCCACCGUGGGCGCAUGGCGAACUACAUGGCGUUGCCGCCCGCACUGCCCUGUCGUCGAGUGCCGGUGAAGUGGAGGUCGCCGCACAAUCCGAGGACGAGGAUGAGGGGAUCCGGCUGGAUCACGUGGCUACAGGCGCGGGGGCUCCGACGGUGGCCGGCGUCCACGGCCACUGGAGGCACUUGCGAGCAGGAGGCCCGAGCCGUGCUUGUAGGAGGCCGUCGGGGCGCGAGGUUGGACGGCCGAAGAUGCGCGGAGAGGCGCCGAUGCGGGGCAGCCUCCUCGAUCCCGGCGACCUGAGGGUCGCGAGGCACCGUGAAUGAACGGAUCAGGGCCAUCGGCGAGGGAGCAUGCGGGGGUCAACGGCGGCUGCUGCCCGAUCCCUUCUUCUUAUGGCGCGGCGGGGCCAGCUUCGCUCAGAUCUGUCGUCGAGGCAACGGAGCGGGGGGAGGGAAUUGGUUUCCAGGGGCCAGAUCAGUGUGCGGGAGGAAGGUAGCGGCGGGGUUGAGGCUUGCCCGGCGGAGUGGGGUGCAACGGUGGCGCCNNNNNNNNNNNNNNNNNNNNNNNNNNNNNNNNNNNNNNNNNNNNNNNNNNNNNNNNNNNNNNNNNNNNNNNNNNNNNNNNNNNNNNNNNNNNNNNNNNNNNNNNNNNNNNNNNNNNNNNNNNNNNNNNNNNNNNNNNNNNNNNNNNNNNNNNNNNNNNNNNNNNNNNNNNNNNNNNNNNNNNNNNNNNNNNNNNNNNNNNNNNNNNNNNNNNNNNNNNNNNNNNNNNNNNNNNNNNNNNNNNNNNNNNNNNNNNNNNNNNNNNNNNNNNNNNNNNNNNNNNNNNNNNNNNNNNNNNNNGUGGGUGGUGGCCUGCCGCAGGGCUAGGAGGUGGUGGCGCGCCAGAGGGAUGGGGUGGUGGCGCGCCGCGGGAGUGGGGAGCGGUGGGUUGCCGGAGGGGUGGGGUUGGUGGGGCGCCGGGGGGUGGUCGUGGUGGGGAAGGUGGGCAACGAGGGGUGGUUGCUGCGGGGUAGAAAGUGGGGUGCGAGGGUUGGCUUAAUGCUGUUUUCUCGUGUUGCUGUGCGGUCCGGGUAGGUGUCUUGAGUAGCACGAAAGUGCUAGCAGAAUAAGAGAUUUGUGUGUAUAAUAAGGUCUUAAGGGAUAUUAUGUCCUGUUGUCAGUUUGAAGCACUUCUUUGGUUUGAAGGAUAGAUAUCCUUUUGGGAUCAAGUACAUCCUCUGAUUUAAAGGAUAGAUAUAUAGAAUGAGUCUAUUAUAAUAACAUCCUUUAAGACCUUAUUCUGCCAAAACACUCUUAUUCUGGUAACACUUGAAUCUAGGCUGCCCAUGAACCGAACAGAGGAAAAAACUACUUAUCCCCCACCUCCCCCUUCCUACGCCCACCUACCUCCACUGCCCCGAUCCCAUCCCAUCGGCGCCGCCCAUCCCGAGCUUCCAGCGCGCCAUGGCAACUCACGGCCGGCACCGCCCCACCAAUCCCUCUAGCUUCCCCUUCCUCCUUAAUAGUUGCCAUCUUCCUCCUCGGCUAUCACAUGAGAUCCACGCCGCCCUGCCCCCAGCGACCUCGUGAGAUCCACCGCCGCCUAGAUCCGCGCAGCCGCCGCCGCCUGGAUCCGAGCAGCCGCCGCCGCCGCCUGGAUCCGAGCAGCCGCCGCCGCCUAGAUGCGCGCCAUCCCGUCCCGGGCGACCUCCCGUGGGCCGCCGAGCGGGGCUUGCGCCGCCCCGGCGCCUCCCACCCCAUGCCUGCCCCGGCCUUUCACCGUCGCUCCGACGACGGUGCCACCCCGCUGCCCCACUUCCCCCUCCCUCUCAUCCCCAUCCCGAGCUCCCACGCCAUUGGACCGACGCCGGCCCGACGCCCCACAACCUCCACCUCGCGCCGGCAGUUGUGGAUGCGGUUCCAGGAGCUCCUCGCUCAGCUGCGCCAUGGAGUUCUCCUGAGCGGCAUGUGCGGCUCACGGUCUGUAGCUGUGCAGCUCGCUCGUGAGUGGUUCGCGCAGCACGACGUGCAGUCCACCAUUGAUGUUUUGUGGGUUUUGAAUUCGCGUGAGCGUCGCCGUGUCCGCCGACGAAGCAGCUCUGACUAGGUGGAUGGGGCACUGCAAUCCACAUCCCACAACGGUGUGCCCCACUUCCUUUUCUACAUCAAGUACACUGUCACAGCUCAGUGCAAGGGGAGGACGACACCACGGUGGUAUAGAAGGGAGCUCGCUAGAGCCCCUGAAAACAUGGAUGUGAUGCUGCACCUUGUUGACACUUUGCUCGUGCUUUUUGUGUUGGAAAUAUGAGCAAAUUACUAUAAGAUUUAAUCCGAAUAGACAGAAGAUAAAUCAUGACCACAGCAGUAGAGAUUAAACUAAUCAUGUGAACUAGCAUAGCAGAUGAACAUAUCACAUCUAGGGCACAUACUAGAAGCAUGAAUUCUACCACGAUCUCGAAUAGGAAGGAUAGAAUCACAUACGGUGCAGCGGGUGCAGCACCGCCGGCGUUGACGUUGUCGCCCAUGUCGUCGAGGACGAGGUUGCCGAGGUCGGGGAAGAAGUCGUCGUUCGCGAAGUCGUCGCUGCCAGCAGUCGCACGAGUGCGCUCCCCAAAAACCUGAUCGCCCCUCUCCCAUACAGGAUCACGAGAGGCGGGGUUCCGGAGGCCUGCUGUCCCUUCUCGCAAUGCACGCCGGAAGGAGGGAUGGAGAAGACUUGCUUGGCGGCGCAAUGAUCUGGAACGGUGGUGAGAAACCAUACGAAGCGGCGGCGGGUAGACGUCUGCCUGACUAUAUAGUGCGGGCCGGGUAGGUCGUGGGAGUAAACCCCACGUCUGAGUCGUCACGAUCCAAAAGAAUCGGAAGCGGUUCAGUAAUUAACGCAUCCGUUAAUUAUUAAUUAAUGACUCAUUAAUUUUUCCAUGCAGCAAAAAUAUAGACAACGUGCAUAGCUCUGUCCUCGGCUCGGCUCAAUCCCACAACCCGCGGCGCGGCGUCAUGACGAGGCGUGGCGUGACGAGGCGAGCGAGGAGGAGGAGCGCGCGUGUAGGUCUCCUCUUCUCAUGCUCAUACAAGUGGUAGAAGAGCUCACCUUAUAAAGAGGUGCAACUCUCUCUCAACUUUCGGGGUGUGACUAAAGUUUAGCCUCACUCACUCCACUCACAUGUGUGCGUGAAUGGGCCAAGAGAAUUUGAGAAUUUUAGUUGGGCUUUGGGCCAAAGGCCUACUAGCAAAAUUCCAACAAUCCCCCACAAAGUCUCAUUGGCACAUCUCAUCAUUUAGUUCCAAAACAUUGUUUUAUAUAUCGGUGCUUAGUGGAGACUGUGAAGUUGAACUUCCACUUAGAAAUUUAUGCUACACUAGAUCACAACUUGAAUAGUGGACUAUGCCUUGAACUACAAGUUUUCUGUGAAACUAGUUUCACACAAAUUCUUGACCGAUACUGGGCUGCCGCAAGGCUUCCCCGCGGGUGGAGCGUAUACGUCAUACUCCAGGGCCUUUCAUGAAUUUAUUAGAGAACACCCAAUUCUCACAGACUACGACGCUAACAGUCAAAUUCAUAUAGGUGUGUUCCUCAGAAGAUGUUCUGCAGGACAACAUCUCUGCUUACCCGAACGAAAGGAUCGAUAUGGUUGACUAGAGGGGGGGUGAAUAGGAAACUAACAAUUUUUUGCUUUUCUUUAGCAAUUUAAACUUUGCAUCAAAGUAGGUUGUCUAGAUAUGCAACUAGAUGAGCAACCUAUAUGAUGCAACACGAAUAGGAACACAAGCAAGCAAGAUAUAUGAAACAAAUAAGCUUCACAAGUAAAGGCAUGAGAUAACCAAGAGUGGAGACGGUGGAGACGAGGAUGUGUUGCCGAAGUUCCUUCCCUUUGAGAGGAAGUACGUCUCCGUUGGAGCGGUGUGGAGGCACAAUGCUCCCCAAGAAGCCACUAGAGCCACCGUAAUCUCCUCACGCCCUCACACAAUGCGAGAUGCCAUGAUUCCACUAUUGGUGCCCUUGGAGGUGGCGACCGAACCUUUACAAACGAGGUUGGGGCAAUCUCCACAACUCAAUUGGAGGCUCCCAACGACACCACGAAGCUUCACCACAAUGGACUAUGGCUUCGCGGUGACCUCAACCGUCUAGGAUGCUCAAACACCCAAGAGUAACAAGAUUCGCAAGGGAUUAGUAGGGGGAAUCAAAUAUCUCUUGGUGGAAGUGUAGAUCGGGGCCUUCUCAACCACUCUCGAGCAAAUCAACAAGUUUGGUUGGCUAGGGAGUGAGAUCGGGCGAAAAUGGAGCUUGGAGCAAUAAUGGAGCUUUAAUGGUGGAAGAGGUAAGUCAACGGGGAAGAAGGAGACCCCUUAUAUAGUGUGUGGAAAAGAUCCAACCGUUACCCACCAACCAGCCCGCGGCCAGCGGUACUACCGCGCCUGGCCAGCGGUACUACCGCAAGGCCGCGCGGUACUACUGCUUGCAACCAAUUGGUACUACCGCACGGCUGUGCGGUACUACCGUACCGACCCACGGUACUGCCGCGACCCCAGCACAGAAACAGACGCACAGAAGCUGAGGGCGGUACUUCCGCACGCGCGGUACUACCGCGCCCCCCAUGCGGUACUACCGCAAGGCAAAAGUCCCAGCCAGGGGGAAGGGAAACUUCCGUGCCUACUUCCGCAAAAAAUACGGAAGUAGCAAAAACCCGACACAGUAGUACUGCCGAGGGGUGGUACUACUGCCUGACCGCAUAGCACGGUACUACCGCACGGUGAAAGCGGUACUACUGCGGCAGGUGCGGAUGUAAAAAAUUACAUCCGCUCCUACUACCGCAAAGGGGCGGCACUAGCCUGGUGGGCAGCGGUAGUGCGGCUCCAGGGGAGCGGUACUACCGUGGGCACCAGCGGUACUACCGCGCCACCGCGCGGUACUACCGUGGAUGCCUACCGUACUACCGUUGAUCCAGGAGCAGUACUACCGCAACCACAACAGCAGCCAGUCACAGGAGGCAGGAAAAUGGAGGAAGCUCCAAGGAAGAAGAAGGGGAUAAAAGGAGACGUGUACGUGAUGAUUCCACCCAAACCUUUCCAACGCAGACCCCCUCUUAAUAGUACGGCUUUCCUACGACUCAAAUCCACCAAAAAGAAACGUAGAAAAGACGCUGUCUUCGUUAGUCUUUGAGGGGCACCCAAUCGUCUUGUGCCUAGCAAAGAAGUGUCUGGAAUACUCAUGGCACACGAUUAGUCCGCAAAUGCGUUGUCAUCAAUCACCAAAACACUUAGGGAUAAAUAUGUCCUUACAAUCUCCCCCUUUUUGGUGGAUUAAUGACAAAACGGGAUUUGCACAAAGAAAAUACUAUUAAGUAAAUGCAAACCCCUCCUCUCUAUAAUAUAGACGGGCUCCCCCUAAAUAUGUGCCACCUAGAUGAGCACGAAUACUAGGAACAGAGCUCCCCCUAUAUUAUAGAGACAAGGCAUAUCUAUCACUAGAUAAGAUAGUACAAACAAGAGAUAACUAAGAUAGAUAGAGUGCAUAUGUCUUACACCAUAUGGAGGAUAGGUCUCGAAGGCACAAACCAAACAAAAGCAAACGAGGCAAACGAGGUCCAAACGACAAAGCAAACAAACACACCAAGCACGACACAACGCAAAUCCCUACACCCUCUCCCCCUUUGGCAUCGAGACGCCAAAAAGGCAGAGAGGACACCUACACACACGGGGUGGCUCAGGCAGAGAAGUCGUCCCACUGCUCCUCGUGCUCCUCGUCAGACUCAGCGGCAGGGAUAGUCUCCUCGAGGUCAUCCUCUGAACUGGUCCACUUGUAGCCCUGCUUUGACAUCCAGGCAGCCUCAGGUGUGAUGACGUCCUCAGACCCGCCAGACACAUCCUCUCCAAAGAGCAUCAUCACCUUCUUGUCAUGGCGGCGACUCUCCUUGUCAGCCACGUGAGCCCUGUACUGUCCCUUCGCCUGCAUGCAGAAGAGAGUCUUCAUCUUGUCCUUUAGCUUCUUGGCCCAUGACGGCUUAGAGGAAGAAGUGGUGGACCUAGCAGCACGGUCCUCAGCAAUAGUCUCAGCAGCAGCAGCCUCCCCCUCACCAGCAGCCCUCCUAGCAGAAGAUGCCUCAGCACGGGUAGUGGUGUUGGCCCAGUUGGGCUUGACGCGGAGGCUGAUGGACUCAUGGCGAAUCCAGUCUGGAGCAAGGAACUCAUCACCUGGAUACGUCUUCUCCCAAGUGGUGGAGAGCAGCAGAAAUAGGUACGGUCCAUAGAUAGGUACCUUGCGAGUGAACACCGCAAACUGAAGCUCACACCAUAUGAUGUGUGAGACAUCAAGUGGUUGAGUCUGAGAAGAACGUGCCUCUGCACACAAGAGCAACAUGUCCACUAGAUAUGCAUGUGCCUUGUCCUUGUCGCCAAUGCGUGGGAACAGAGUUUUGCGGAAGAUGUGAUGCAUGAUAUCCAGAAAGGAGUUUAACACCCAAGAUGACUUGCCAUUGGGGAGUACCUUCUCAACAAGGAAGGGCUGAAGCUGGUUCUUGUUGGCAGACUCAGAGUUGGCAUGGGGGCGAACGCCAACGGGGGUGUGAAGCCCGUCAUCAGGAAUGUGCAGCAUAUCCAUGAACUCUUUCCACGUAGCAGACAGCUGACGGCCAUUGGUCAUCCAGGUCAUCCUCCGCUCCUCCCCGGGAUGAAAGUACACUGAGGCAAAGAACUGACAGAUGAGCUCAGGGUCAUAGUCAAGGUGAAAGGAGAUCACCGGCUCAAUAGCAAACUGCUCCACCAAGUCCAGAGCCUCUCCAAAAUAGUCACGAAACUUGUCCUUCCGCAGGUGAUGCAUGUCUAUCCACUUGACAUCCACGAAGGUAUUCUGCUUGUUCUUGAUCACAUCCAGAUAGAUCAGAGCCUGUUGCUUGGUCCAGAACAACUCGGUGCCUCUGAGGAUAGCCCGAGGAUUCACAUAGGGAUUGAUCUUUUGGCGCUCAACAUACUCAGUGGUUGAAAUCUCGUCCAUGCCCUUAGCCGGUUCCUUUUGCUUGCUGGCAGUGGUCUUGACAUUGUGCUUGGGGGCAUUGGAGCCCUCUGGGGCUUCAUCUUGGGGGUUGCGCAGACGCUUGGAGCCAGUGUCACGACUGGGAUUGGAACGGCGAGAGCCACCACCUGAGACACAGAAUGCAAAAACACCCACAACGGCCAAGAGAGGUUAAUGCAAAGACCACAACAACGCAAGUGAAACAAGAAGAAAGCACACAUGAUAAAUGCCUAGAGAGAGAUUUGAUCCCUACGGUAGUACUGCCAAGUGAUGCGGAGCUAAGAUAGUAGUACGGCUCUUAGAUGCGGUAGUACCAUGCAAGAUCACGGUAGUACCGGGUGUAGGAGCGGUAGUACGACCUUAGCGCCACGGCCGGCGCGGUAGUACCGCAUCUGUAGAGCGGUAGUACCGCACGGUACGGUAGUACCACACCUGACGGGCGGUAGUACCGCACAUUGGGCACGGUAGUACCGCAACGCGUCAGAUCUGAACAGGUUCAAAUCUGAAAAAGCCCGUGAAACCACGGCGGUACUACGGUUGGACAAAGCUACCACAAGACAGCAUAUCAAGUAUGUUUUCUAUGCAUCACCACUCUCCUACAUCCUACUCUUGCAUAGAUUUGGCCUAAAAUCUCAAGAACGACAAGUUUCUCCCCAAAAACCUAGAAGCAAGAGAACAACCAAGAAAAAGAGGGAUUUGGGAAAAAAAACCUUGGUCCAUGGCAAGAGGAAGUGGUGGGGAACGAUCCCACCGGUCGGAAUCCGAGGAGAGUGGCCGGAGACGGAGAUCCGGCGAGGGCCUCCGGCGCCGUUCUUGAGAGGGAGAGACAUGGAGAGAGAGACAAUGAAUGGGUAUGGGGAGUUGGAACUCCCCUGCCCGAGUCAUAACCCCCACGCGCCCUUGACAGCGCGGUAGUACCGUGCCCAGACACGGUAGUACCGCACGGCGCGGUACUUCCGAAGUACCGCACCAGAGCGGUAGUACCGUGCUGUGGCGCGAUAGUACCGUGCCUCCCAAAGCGGUAGUACCGCGCCCAGACGCUGUAGUACCGUGGGCUCAAGAAAUUGCACGUUUCGAGCGCACGAAAACUGGAUCUUUGCACAAACCACUCCGAGCCAACACGACACCACAAGACCACGCAACACACAAAACCAGAAAGACACCACCUCUCCAAAAGAGAGGGCGGUGGCCGUAGCCACCUAUGUUUGAGUCAAUUGGUAUGGCACUGUGAAGAAUUAUCCUUGGGUCCAUGACCAAAACUCGUCUUUGAAGCACAAGUACCAUCAAACAUGGCUAAUGUGAAAGACUUGAUUGAUUUAUGCAUAAUGGGGGAGGGAGAGUUCACUGAGAGAACAUCACUCCCCCUAUGUCCAUGCCUACAUCUAAAUAGGAUAACACGUUGAGUAUGGUGGGGUGUGCAAGGGUUCAAGCAACAUUGCUCGAAUCGAUGAUAUUUAGCUCAUGCCUUAACUCGCGAAAUCUUGCUUCAUCCAAGGGCUUUGUGAAGAUAUCUGCAAGGUUAUCAUGAGUGUUGACGUAGUUGAGCUCGAUCUCUUCUCGCCUAAUGUGAUCCCGGAUGAAGUGAUACCGGAUCUCAAUAUGCUUCGUCUUGAAGUGUUGCACCGGGUUGAGAGAGAUCUUGAUGGCACUUUCAUUGUCACACCAAAGAGGCACUUUGUCACAAGUGACACCGUAAUCCUUUAAAGUUUGCCUCAUCCAUAAGAGUUGUGCACAACAACUACCGGCCGCCACAUACUCCGCUUCGGUGGACGAGAGAGACACACAACUUUGCUUUUUGGAAGACCAACUUACCAAAGAGCAACCAAGGAAUUGGCACCCUCCGGAAGUGGACUUCCUAUCCACUUUGUCUCCCGCCCAAUCAGAAUCCGAGUACCCUACAAGCUUGAAGUCUGAUCCUCUUGGGUACCAUAACCCAAAGUUUGGGGUAUGAGCCAAAUAUCGAAAGAUUUGUUUGACCGCCACAUAGUGACUUUCCUUAGGUGUGGCUUGAAAGCGUGCACAAAUUCCCACACUCAACAUGAUGUCCGGUCUAGAUGCACAAAGGUAAAGCAAGGAUCCAAUCAUGGAACAAUAUACCUUUUGAUCCACCACUUUACCAUUGGGAUCUAAGUCAAGUUGGCACUUGGUGGGCAUUGGAGUGGAAGCCGGCUUGACGUCACUUAGCUUGAAUCUCUUGAGCAUGUCUUGAGUGUAUUUCGAUUGAUUGAUAAAGGUUCCUUCUCUUCUUUGCUUCACUUCGAACCCUAGAAAGAACUUCAACUCUCCCAUGGAGGACAUCUCGAACUUUGAGGUCAUGAGAGCGGAAAAUUCCUCAUUGAAAGCUUUGUUAGGAGAACCAAAGAUAAUAUAAUCAACAUAUAAUUGGCACACAAACAACUCCCCUUUGACCUUCUUAGUAAAAAGAGUGGGGUCGAUUAGCCCAACUUCAAAACCACGGUCUUGUAACAACUCGGUAAGGUGGUCAUACCACGCACGUGGGGCUUGUUUAAGGCCAUAGAGUGCCUUAUCGAGUUGAUACACAUGAUCGGGAAAGUAGGGAUCCUCGAACCCGGGGGGUUGCUUGACGUAAACCAAUUCAUUAAUGGGACCAUUAAGAAAAGCACUCUUCACAUCCAUUUGUUGUAACUUAAAGUUAUGAUGAGAAGCAUAUGCAAUCAACAUGCGAAUGGAUUCAAGACGAGCAAUGGGAGCAAAGGUUUCACCAUAGUCGAUACCCUCGACUUGGGAGUAGCCUUGUGCUACCAAACGAUCCUUGUUGCAAAUGAUGAUCCCAUGGGCAUCUUGCUUGUUCUUAAAUAUCCACUUGGUUCCUAUGACACUGUGAUUUCCGGUCGGUCUUGGCACCAAUCUCCACACUUUGUUGCGCUCGAAGUUGUUGAGUUCUUCAUGCAUGGCAUUGAGCCAAUCCGGAUCUUCUAGCGCCUCAUAGACCUUGUGGGGUUCCACACAAGAGACAAACGUGUGAUGCUCACAAUAAUUUGCUAAUUGUCUACAAGUGCUUACCCCCUUUCUUAAGCUUCCAAGCACAUUCGUCAUGAGAUGAUCCUUGGUGGAGAGCUUGGAAGCAACCUUGGCGGCACAACGCUCUAAUUCCUCCUCGGUGGUGAGUUGAGGAGCGGUUACUUGAUCAUCUUGAGCGCCAUCAUGAACUUGUUCUUGAUCUUGAACUUGCUCGGGGGAGAGAACUUGACCUUGGGCAUCACUUGGUGUGUCCACACCGUCUUGAGUAUGAUCAUGCCCUUGGUCUUGUUCAUGAGGUUGAGGGCCUUCACUUUGUUCUUCGGAAGCGUGUGGGCCUUGGGUUGGUGAUGGCUCCACUUGAGUGGAGCAUUGUCCUUCUCCUUCGGCCACAAGGGGUUCCUCAAUGGGUAGGAUAAAACCAACACCCAUUCUUCUUAUGGCUUGAGGAGGAAUUUCAUCACCUACAUCACAAGUGCCACUUUGCUCCACUUGGGAGCCAUUAUUCUCAUCAAACUCCAUGUUACACGUCUCCUCAAUAAGUCCUGUGGAUUUAUUGAGGACACGGUAAGCAUGAUAGUUUGUAGCAUAACCAACAAAUAUGCCCUCAUAAGCUCUAGCCUCAAAUUUAGACAACCGAACACCUUUCUUAAGAAUGAAACACUUACACCCGAAUACCCGGAAGUACUUGAGGUUGGGAUUGUUAUCGGUGAGUAUCUCAUAUGGAGUCUUGUUCAAGCCCUUGCGGAGGUAGAGCCGAUUUGAUGCAUGACACACGGUGUUGUUGGCUUCGGCCCAAAAGUUGUACGGAGACUUGAACUCCGCCAUCAUGGUCCUUGCCGCAUCCAUCAACGUCUGGUUCUUCCUCUCCGCAACACCGUUUUGUUGAGGGGUGUAGGGUGCGGAAUAUUAAUGCUUGAUUCCCUCGUCACUAAGAAACUCAUCCAAGGUGUAGUUCUUGAACUCGGUGCCGUUGUCACUUCUUAUUGUCAAGAUAUUUGCAUUGUGUUAAUGUUGUGCUUCAUUUGCAAAGUCAAUGAUGGUUUGUUGGGUCUCGCUCUUCCUCUUGAAGAAUUACACCCACGUGUACCUUGAGUAGUCAUCCACAAUCAACAAGCAAUACUUCCUACCUCCAAGACUAUCGAAGGAUGGAGGCCCAAAGAGAUCCAUGUGAAGGAGCUCCAAAGGCCUCUUUGAAUAAAUGAUAGUAGUGGGAGGGUGAGCCUUCUCAUGUAGCUUUCCUUCGAUACAGACACUGCAAGCACGAUCUUUAGCAAAACUAACAUUCGUUAGUCCACGGACAUGGUCCCCCUUGAGGAGACUUUGCAAAGAUCUCAUAUUGACAUGGGCUAAACGGCGAUGCCAAAGCCAUCCCACAUCAACUUUAGCCAUUAGGCAUGUCACGGUCUUAGUGGGUCGCUCCGAAAAGUUAAUCACAUAUAGACCGUUCUCGACAUGCCCAACAAAAGCUACUUUAAGAGUCUUGCUCCACAAGAGGGCCACGAUAUCGAUAUCAAAGAAAGUGGCAAAGCCCAUGAUAGCAAGUUGACGAACGGAAAGUAAAUUGUAUGCAAGGGACUCAACAAGCAUGACCUUCUCGAUCGUGAGAUCAUGAGAGAUGACCACUUUGCCAAGUCCCAAUACCUUAGAAGAUGAGGCGUCACCCCACUCGACAUUGGUGGGCAUAGAUGGAACCUUGUGCACGUCCACCACCAAGUCCUUGUUUCCGGUCAUAUGAUUUGUAACUCCGCUAUCGAGCAACCAUGAUCCCCCACCGGAAGCAAACACCUACAAGAGAUCAAUGCUUGGUUUUAGGUACCCAUUUUGUAAUGGGUCCUUUGAUGUUAGUAACAAGGGUUUUUGGAACCCAAAUAGACCAUUCAAUGUAUUCAUGAAGAGAACCAACAAAUUUGGCAUAAACAUGCCCAUCACUAGCACGACAUAACACAUAAGAAGGGUUAAAAUCGCCGGCUUUGUUGAGAGGGGUGGCAUUGCCCUUCUUGACAUUGUUCUUCUUCUUCUCCUCGGGGGCACUCUCUCCCUCCCUCACAAAGGUUUGCAUGAGGGGAGGAGGUCGUUUGGUCUUGUCAUUCUUCUUCUUGUUCUUGGAGUCGGGCACGUACCCAACCCCUUCCUUGGCCACACCUCCCUUUUGGUUGAUCAAGAGAUCGUUGAGGUUCUUCUUGCCUUGUAUGCAAGUUGCAAGACCUCUCUCAAGUUGCUCCUUCCACUUCGCAUUUUCCUCAACAAGAUGUAUAUGCUCACAACACGGGUUAGUAGCAUUUGCAUUAUCAAUUAAAACCAUAUGAGGAAAAGUUGCUUUCUCCUUAGUUAGCUUCACUUGGAGUUGAUCAUGAGACUCCUUGAGACUAGCGUGAAUACCCUUCAAGGCCUUGUGGGCCUUGUCAAGUAUAUCAAACUCCUCUUUGAGUCUAGCAAGAUCAACCCCAAGUUUGGCCUUCUCGGAAUUUAGCACACGAGAAACAAUGAGGACAUGAUCAUAAUCUUUCUUUAACUUAGCAUGAUCAACGUUAUGUGACUCCUCAAGAGCCAAACGAAGACCACGCUCUUCCUCAAGAGCAUUGGAAAGAUCCGAAAUCUCAUCGGCAUAGUCACGACUAUGCCCUUCCAUCUUAGAGAUGGUGUCUUCGUGAGCCUCGAUCAUGUCAUUGGCUUCACCAAGUUGUUCCAAGAGAGCAACAAAGUGCUUCUUGGAUUUUCCCUUGAGUUUGCCCAUAAAGGCCUCAAACUCGUUAGCCUCCAUAUUAGCUCCCUCAAGUUCAUUAAUGCUAUCCGUCGGGGAAGGAUGAUUAAUGAUGGUAGUUUUGAUGUUGGAGGUUACCUUGUUGGUGGCUUUAGCCAUGAGGCACUUGGCGGUGAUGCUCUCGUUGGGUGAGUCGAAGAGAGACACCCGUGACGUUGUUGCAAUGGCAACGGAGGCCAUGGCAACCGACUCACCAUCUUCAUCAUCAUCAUAAUCCUCAUUGUACUCUUCUUGCACAACCAAAGCCUUGGGAGGAGUCUUCUUGGUGAAGUUGUUCUUGUUGGGGAACGACUUGGCCUUGGCUUUUCGGAUGAGCUUGCCACCAUUGUCUUCCCUCUUCUCAUACGGGCAUUCCGCAACGAAGUGACUCACGUUGCCGCAAUUGUAGCAAGUCCUUACACGUUGCUUGCCCCUUGUGCCACUCGAGUUGCUUUUGCUAAAGUUUGGCCUCGAGUUUUUCUUGCUCCAAAAUUGCCUUGAAGCAAGUGCCAUGUGUUCAUGAUAUGCAUACUUCGUAUCUUCGGGGUUGCUCUCCUCUUCUUCCUCUUCUUCUUCUUCCACGAUGAGCUUGGCCAUCAAUGCAAGGUUAGGCUUCUUUGCCCGUUGAGAAUGGAGCACCGCAUUGUCGGUGGUCUUGUCCAAAAUGUUCAUGGCCACAAACUCAUCCAACACUUCGCUUGAGGUCAAAGUGUGGAAGUCCGGUCUUUGACGAAUGACGGAGGACAUGGCCUUGUGAUAGGGCAUCAUUGCCUUGAGGAAUUUGCGCUUGAUCCAAUUGUCAUCCGUGUCCUUGCUCCCGUGAUCUCGUAGUGAGACCGCGAGUUUGGUUACUCUCUGAUAAAGCUCAUGAGGUUCUUCAUCUUCUUUCAUUGCAAACUCAUCGGCCUCAUCUUGUACCACUUCAUAAUUGGAGCAUUGAAUGCUUGCGCUUCCCCGGUAGAGAGAGACAACACAACGCCAUGCAUCUUUGGCCAAGGCAAAGGAACGAAGAUGAGGUAGGUCUUCGGGUGGAAUUGCAUCUUGAAUGAUGAAGAGAGCAUUCUCAUUGAAUUGAUUAUCCGCGGCUUCUCGAGGAGUGAAGUUGCUUGGAUCAUGUGGAUAAAAACCCUCUUCAAUGAUUCUCCAAAGGUUAGUGUUCACAUGAUUUAAAUGACGUUUAAAGCGGUAAGCCCAAGAAUCAAAGUCCUCAUUUUUCACAAUCUUAGGAGGAGGACCGGCAUGAUUCAAGUGAGUGGAAGGAAUCGGUCCACCAUAAACAAGUGGUGGUUCCACAUGGGUAAAGAUGGCGGUGCCAUUCUUACCACUAGAAGAAGGAGCCUUUUCACUACUAGCUUCCCACUUGUCGGGGAUAGCAUCCGUCACCUUGUUGGCGGGAUCACCCACUUUCAACGGUGCGGUGGAUAGUUUAAGCCCCUCAAGAAAUUUAGUAAACAUGCUCUCAACUUCUGUCGUCAUGGAGGUUUUCAAUGUCUCCAAGGCCACAUUGAACUCCUCACGAGAGACCGAGGUUCCCCCAUCGCCCGUAGACGAGAUAGGAUUCACACCGGAGUGUUCCUCCGCACCGUCUACGGUAUCAACCAUACUCUUUGGACGGUAAAGUCCUUAAUAAAGAGACGAGGCUCUGAUACCAAUUGAAAGGAUCAAUAUGGUUGACUAGAGGGGGGGUGUAUAGGCAACUAACAAUUUUUAGCUUUUCUUUAGCAAUUUAAACUUUGCAUCAAAGUAGGUUGUCUAGAUAUGCAACUAGAUGAGCAACCUAUAUGACGCAACAUGAAUAGGAACACAAGCAAGCAAGAUAUACGAAACAAAUAAGCUUCACAAGUAAAGGCAUGAGAUAACCAAGAGUGGAGACGGUGGAGACGAGGAUGUGUUGCCGAAGUUCCUUCCCUUUGAGAGGAAGUACGUCUCCGUUGGAGCGGUGUGGAGGCACAAUGCUCCCCAAGAAGCCACUAGAGCCACCGUAAUCUCCUCACGCCCUCACACAAUGCGAGAUGCCAUGAUUCCACUAUUGGUGCCCUUGGAGGCGGCGACCGAACCUUUACAAAAGAGGUUGGGGCAAUAUCCACAACUCAAUUGGAGGCUUCCAACGACACCAUGAAGCUUCACCACAAUGGACUAUGGCUUCGCGGUGACCUCAACCGUCUAGGAUGCUCAAACACCCAAUAGUAACAAGAUCCGCAAGGGGUUAGUAGGGGGAAUCAAAUAUCUCUUGGUGGAAGUGUAGAUCGGGGCCUUCUCAACCACUCCCGAGCAAAUCAACAAGUUUGGUUGGCUAGGGAGUGAGAUCGGGCGAAAAUGGAGCUUGGAGCAAUAAUGGAGCUUUAAUGGUGGAAGAGGUAAGUCAACGGGGAAGAAGGAGACCCCUUAUAUAGUGUGUGGAAAAGAUCCAACCGUUACCCACUAACCAGCCCGCGGCCAGCGGUACUACCGCGCCUGGCCAGCGGUACUACCGCAAGGCCGCGCGGUACUACUGCUUGCAACCAAGUGGUACUACCGCACGGCUGUGCGGUACUACCGUACCGACGCACGGUACUGCCGCGACCCCAGCACAGAAACAGACGCACAGAAGCUGGGGGCGGUACUUCCGCACGCGCGGUACUACCGCGCCCCCCAUGCGGUACUACCGCAAGGAGAAAGUCCCAGCCAGGGGGAAGGGAAACUUCCGUGCCUACUUCCGCAAAAAAAUACGGAAGUAGCAAAAACCCGGCACAGUAGUACUGCCGAGGGGCGCUACUACUGCCUGAUCGCAUAGCGCGGUACUACCGCACGGCGAAAGCGGUACUACCGCGGCAGGUGCGGAUGUAAAAAAUUACAUCCGCUCCUACUACCGCAAAGGGGCGGCACUAGCCUGGUGGGCAGCGGUAGUGCGGCUCCAGGGGAGCGGUACUACCGUGGGCACCAGCGAUACUACCGCGCCACCGCGCGGUACUACCGUGGAUGCCUACGGCACUACCGUUGAUCCAGGAGCAGUACUACCGCAACCACAACAGCAGCCAGUCACAGGAGGCAGGAAAACGGAGGAAGCUCCAAGGAAGAAGGAGGGGAUAAAAGGAGACGUGUACUUGAUGAUUCCACCCAAACCUUUCCAACGCGGACCCCCUCUUAAUAGUACGACUUUCCUACGACUCAAAUCCACCAAAAAGAAACGUAGAAAAGGCGCCAUCUUCGUCAGUCUUCGAGGGGCACCCAAUCGUCUUGUGCCUAGCAAAGAAGUGUCUGGAAUACUCAUGGCACACGAUUAGUCCGCAAAUGCAUUGUCAUCAAUCACCAAAACACUUAGGGAUAAAUAUGUCCUUACACCGAAUAAGCCACUUGGAAUACAUUAAGAUAAGUAUCAACCUGCCAUGCAGAUCAGGAGAGUAUUGCAUCUUCACAGAGUGGGAUAAUUAAUAUAGGGAUACUCUCCUCCCAGCCGACCAACAGCUUGUCUUCCACUUCUACUUCACGGGAUCUCCGAUCACAUAGAGUGGUUUACCACUAUGGACAACUCAUGCGGUGGGUUUCAAACCCAUCUCCAUUGAUGCAUUAUAUAUCACAUUACGUGAUAGACCCUUUGUGAAGGGAUCUGCCAAGUUUUUCGACGUUUGGAUAUAAUCCAACAUAAUAACUCCGGAGUUCCUCAAUUUUCUGACAGAUUUUAGUCUCCUCUUCACAUGCCUUGAGGACUUCAUAUUGUCCUUAGAACUAUUUAUCUUGGCGAUCACAGUUUGAUUAUCACAGUUCAUCAGGAUAGGGGGUAUUGGUUUUUCAACCAUAGGUAAGUCCAUCAAGAGUUCACGAAGCCACUCUGCUUCAACAGUGGCAGUGUCUAAUGCUGUGAGUUCUGCUUCCAUAGUUGACCUCGUUAAGAUGGUCUGCUUGCAAGAGUUCCAGGAAACAGCGCCACCACCAAGUGUAAAAACAUAACCACUUGUGGCCUUAAUCUCAUCAGCAUCAGAUAUCCAGUUUGAGUCACUAUAACCCUCCAGUACCCUUGGAUACCCGGUGUAGUGAAUCCCAUAGCUCGCGGUGCCUUUCAAAUAGCGCAUAACUCUCUCAAGCGCAUGCCAAUGAUCAUCUCCUGGUUUUGACACAAACCGACUCAGCUUGCUCACAGCAAAAGAGAUGUCAGGCCUCGUGGCACUCGCCAAAUACAUAAGCGAGCCAAUAAUCUGAGAAUACCUCAGUUGAUCUCUAGCAAUCUGUCGAUUCUUUUGAAGCAACACACUAGCAUCAUAUGGAGUUGGAGAAGGCGUGCAGUCGCUAUACCCAAAACGACUCAAGACCUUUUCCACAUAAUGAGACUGAAGCAGUGUGAUCCCACCAUUCUCAUCUCUCAACAGCUUGAUGUUUAAGAUAACAUCAGCUACUCCUAGAUCCUUCAUCUCAAAACAGCGAGAUAAGAAAUCCUUAACCUCCUUGAUUAAAUCAAGUUUGGUUCCAAAGAUUAAUAUGUCGUCGACAUACAGACAAAGAAUAACUCCUUCGCCCCCACCAUAGUGAUAGUACACGCACUUGUCACCAUCGUUUACUACAAAGCCGACAGCAGUUAAUGUUCUUUCGAACUUCUCAUGCCACUCCUUAGGAGCUUGUUUAAGGCCAUAUAAAGACUUUAAUAACUUGCACACCUUUCCUUCUUGACCAGGUACUACAAAACCAUCUGGCUGAUCCAUGUAAAUUUCCUCCUUCAACUCUCCAUUGAGGAAAGCCGUCUUAACGUCCAUUUGAUGAACGAGAAGACCAUGUGAGGCAGCCAGUGAUAGUAGCACCCGAAUUGUGGUCAGCCUAGCCACGGGUGAGUAAGUAUCAAAGAAGUCUUCACCUUCUUUCUGGGUAUAACCCUUGGCCACAAGCUGUGCCUUGUACUUUUCAAUCGUACCAUCAGGUCUAAGCUUCUUCUUGAACACCCACUUACAUCCUACAGAUUUGCACCCAUAAGGACGGUCAGUGAUCUCCCAGGUACCGUUAGCUAAGAUGGAAUCCAUCUCGCUACGUACAGCUUCCUUCUAGUAGUCAGCAUCAGGAGAUGCAUAGGCUUCUGAAAUAGUCCUGAGUGUGUCAUCCACGAGGUACACAAUGAAAUCAUCACCAAAAGACUUUGCAGUCCUCUGUCUCUUACUCCUCAUAGGAGUUCCAUUGUUACCCUCAACAGGAUUCUCAACAUGUUCCAUCGCAAUGGUGGGUUCAGGAAUUACAGUGAAUUCCUCACUAGAUGGAGUAGGUAUCUCCUGAUUUGAUGAACUCGACAUAUCCUUCAUAGGAAAUAUGUCCUCAAAGAAAGUUGCAUCAUUUGAUUCCAUAAUCGUACAACAUGCAUGUCGGAUACCUCAAAUUUUAUUAUCAAAAAUCUAUAGCCGAUGCUAUGAAAAGCAUAGCCCAGAAGAACACAAUUCAUGGUUUUUGGUCCAAGCUUGCACUUCUUGGGAAUUGGUGUAUUGACUUUCGCCAAACAACCCCAAGUACGUAGGUAAGAGAGUUUCAACCUUUUCCUUUCCCAUUCCUCAAAUGGAGUCAUGGUCUUAUGCUUUGUGGGAACUCGGUUUAGGACAUGACACGCAGUCAUUAGCGCCUCCCCCCACCAUUCCUUGGAUAGACCCGAAGUGUCUAACAUGGUGUUAACCAUAUCAGUUAGAGUUCGGUUUUUUCUUUCGGCUACCCCAUUUGACUGGGGUGAGUAGGGAGGUGUUCUCUCAUGGAUUAUACCAUGUUCCGCACAAAACAGAUCAAAUUCAUUGGAAAAAUACUCUCCACCACAAUCGGACCUAAGCCGUUUAAUUUUUCGAUCAAGUUGGUUCUCUGCCUCAGCUUUAUAGUUUUUAAAGAAAGUCAAAGCCUCAUCUUUUGAUUUCAGAAGAUACACAUAACAAUAUCUAGUGGAGUCAGUAAUCAACGUCAUGAAGUAUCUCUUUCCACCUUUUGUCAACAUGCCAUUCAUCUCACAAAGAUCAGAAUGUAUAAGCUCUAGUGGCGCCAAGUCUCUUGCCUCUGCAGUCUUAUGGGACUUGCGAGGUUGCUUAGCUUGCACACAUACUUGGCACUUGGAGCCUUUGACAGUAGAGAUUUUCGGAAUUAAAUUCAUAUUGUCUAACCGCAUCAUGCAACCAAAGUUAAUAUGACAGAGUCGUGAAUGCCAAAUAUCAGACUCAUUAUUGUGGCAAACAUUAUUAAUAACUUUAGUGCACAUAUCUAAUAAAGAUAGGCGGAACAAGCCUCCGCACUCAUAGCCAUUUCCAACAAAUUGUCCACACUUAGAAAUUACAACUUUAUUGGAUUCGAAAACCAACUUAAAACCAUCUCGACAUAAACGGGAACCGCUAAUGAGAUUUUUAUUGAUGGACGGCACAUGAUGAACGUUCUUCAGACGCACAGUCUUCCCCGAAGUAAACUUCAGAUCGACCGUACCAACACCUCGAACGAUGGCAUGUGACUCGUUCCCCAUCAGCACGGGUGAAGUCCCUGUUGCCUGGUAAGAAGAAAACAUGGAGGCGUCAACACAAACAUGUACAUUGGCACCGGUGUCAAUUAACCAAUCGGUGGAUUGAAAUACUGAAAGGAUGGUAGGAAAAAUACCGUACCCUGAUUCCUUCAUAUCAGUAUCACCGAUGACAACAUUAGCGGACUUGCCGCUCUUCUCAUGUUCGCGCUCCUCAAAGCGGUUAGGACACUUCGGAGCCCAGUGAUUAGGAUCACCAUAGACAUGGCAAAGUCCCUUCCCCUUCUUAUGAGAAUUCUUCUUGAAGUUGGUAGAAUGUGAUGGCUUGUUCUUUGUAUCAAACUUGCCUUUUCCCUGAGUUUUGUUCUUAUUGUUUUUGAACUUGUUGGGCUGGGAGUUCUUCUUCUGUACCAUGUGGGCACUAGAACCUCCCUCUGCAACUCGAGCAUGUGUGUCCUUUGCUCUCGCCUUCUUUUCAACAUCAAGAGUACCAAUGAGAUCCGCAACGGAAAACUCCUGUCUCUUGUGUUUCAGGGAAGUAGCAAAAUUGUUCCACGAAGGUGGAAGCUUGGCAAUGAUGCCUCCGGCAAAAAAUUUGUCCGGCAACACACACUUGAAGUACUCAAGUUCUUUAGCGAGCGACUGUAUCUCAUGAGCCUGCUGUACAACAGGACGCUCAUCAGUCAUCUUGUAGUCAUAGAAUUGCUCCAUGACGUACAACUCGCUGCCGGCGUCCGAGGCACCAAACUUGGCCUCGAGCGCAGCCCACAUGUCCUUGCCGUUGUCAAACGACAUAUACGAAUCCACAAUGGAGUCAUCAAGAACACUCAGAAGAGCGCCUUUAAAGAGGGUAUCGAUCUUCUCAAAAGCUUCCAGCUAUGCUGGAUUAAGAUCGCCCUCAGGCUUGCCCUUGGUGGCAUCAUAGCAGCCCAUGGUCUGAAACCAGUAGACUGCUCUCGUGCGCCACCUCUUAUAUUGCGCCCCCUUAAAGGCAGGCGGCUUCAGAUGCACAGGAAAACCACUCGGAGUAAAUUGCCUAUAAUCAAGUUUUUGGAUUGUUGGAAAUAUGAGCAAAUUACUACGAGAUUUAAUCCGAAUAAACAGAAGAUAAAUCAUGACCACAGCAGCAGAGAUUAAACUAAUCAUGCGAACUAGCAUAGCAGAUGAACAUAUCACAUCUAGGGCACAUACUAGAAGUAUGAAUUCUACCACGAUCUCGAACAUGAAGGAUAGAAUCACAUAUGGUGCAGCGGGUGCAGCACCGUCGGCAUUGACAUUGUCGCCCAUGUCGUCAAGGACGAGGUUGUCGAGGUCGGGGAAGAAGUCGUCGUUCGCGAAGUCGUCGCUGCCAGCAGUCGCGCGAGUGCGCUCCCCAAAAACCUGAUCGCCCCUCUCCCGUACAGGAUCACGAGAGGCGGGGUUCCGGAGGCCUGGUGUCCCUUCUCACGGUGCACGCCGGAAGGAGGGAUGGAGAAGACUUGCUUGGCGGCGCAAUGAUCUGGAACGGUGGUGAGAAACCAUACGAAGCGGCGGCGGCUAGGGUAGACGUCUGCCUGACUAUAUAGUGCGGGCCGGGUAGGUCGUGGGAGUAAACCCCACGUCCGAGUCGUCACGAUCCAAAAGAAUCGGAAAUGGUUCAGUAAUUCCGUUAAUUAUUAAUUAUAUAGACAACAUGCAUAGCUCUGUCCUCGGCUCGGCUCAAUCCCGCAACCCGCGGCGCGGCGCGUCGUGACGAGGCGAGGCGAGGCGAGGCGAGGUGUGGCGAGGCGAGCGAGGAGGAGGAGCGCGCGUGUAGGUCUCAUCUUCUCAUGCUCAUACAAGUGGUAGAAGAGCUCACCUUAUAAAGAGGUGCGAUUCUCUCUCAACUUCCGGGGUGGGAAUAAACUUUAGCCUCACUCACUCCACUCACAUGUGUGCAUGAAUGGGCCAAGAGAAUUUCAGAAUUUUAGUUGGGCUUUGGGCCAAAGGCCUACUAGCAAAAUUCCAACAUUUUGUGUGCAGGUCGCAUGCAUGCCGAGUCGAGCUGUGCAUGCUGUGUUUGACGAGAUGCAGUAUAGACGGCGACGCCAUGCACCUCAUUGGCGGUGUACGUGUGAAUUGCCAGCUAGUGUGAUUCGCUAGUUAAAAAAUAGAUGCCGUUUGUUAUAUCAAACUCUGUAGUGCUGCACUAAUAUCAUCCCUGCAAUUAUUUUGUAAUUUGUUGAUAAAUACUAUCUUUUUCCUUGCAGAACACUUGUCUUGUCUCUGUUGUUCGCUUGCCUUGCCUUGAUGUCACAGGCUGCAUUUAUUUUACAUGUGAAAAAAUUCACUCUGAUUUGAACAUCUGCAGUGCGCAUUGUCUUCAGAUGUGGUUCAUUUCAAGAGCCAUGCUGUCCGGCAGUGCUCUUGUGCACUUCACUGACUAGUGCUCUUGUGCACUUUACUGACUUUGUGAUUUCUGAAGAGAAAAAAGUGCAAAUGAAGUCCGCUAUGGUUUGCUAUUAAGGUUCAUUUUACUCAUUUUUGCAGGAAAAAAGAUGAAGUGAUGCAGUUCUAUUGGAUGCCCCAUUACUCAAUUUUGUUGUUGUUGAAGAGUGCACUUCAUUAGUUCAUUGUAGAAACUGCAGUUCAUUACCGUGAUUUGGCUGGUGGAGAGUGUAGAUUCUGUAUGCUAUAAACCUCCUCUGUUGUCCACUUGGUAAACACAAAACAAAAAAGAUCUCAAAAUGAAGCUCGCUUCUAUAUUAGAUGUAGUUCACUCACUCAGUCCCUACGGUCCACUCGCUUGGUCAACGCGCGCAAAAAAUUAAUAAGUACGAAAAAAAGACAACAAGAACUCAUGAGGUUCCACUUUGGGUAGUGUUACGGUUCACUACCGGAAGUGUUGUGGUCCACUCUCGUUCACAAAAAAAUUGAACAAAACGACAACAAAAACUUGUUAGAGAAAAAUUUACAUUUGACAAAAGAAAUCAUGAAGUUCACUUGACCGUCUGAUGCAGUGAGGUUUUCGACCGAAACAGUGCGGUUUUCUGUCGGAUGAAGUUCAGUCGUUCAAUUUGGAUGUCGCGAAAAACAGUGUCCGCAUUUCGGUAAAUUUAAAACUGCUCUUAAACCGUAAGGAAUUAGAGAGAGUGUUCUACAUGAAAAAGUUGUGUCCCGUCGAUAUCUUUCCAACGGCAUAUCAUUUGAAUCAUUUCGACAACCGAUUUGUAAAAUUUUCAGGAAAAACGGCCGCUGUCACUCGUCGUCCAUCGUACGAUUUUUAAAAUUAACUUAAAACCGUGACGAAUCUCAAAAACAUUUCAACAUAUGAAAGUUGUGCCUCGUCCAUAGCUUUUCAACGGUAUAUUACACACCUCGUUUCGACAAACGGUUAAAAAACUAGAGCGAAAACAGUACCAAAUUUUAUUUUUUUUGAAAAACAUAAUUCCGCAAUUUAGUAAAUUUAAAACUACUUUUAAACCGUAAUGAAUUAGGGAAAACAAUAGUUAUGAAAAAGAUGCACCUCGACGAUAUCUAUCCAACGGUGUAUCAUUUGCCUCAUUCCGACGAACGGUUUAGAAAAAAACACGAAAAAACGCUCGCUGCCACUCUUUGUGGGCCGCACCAUUAUUCUGAUAACACUUUUUUAUGGUCACGCUAUUCGUCACCCUGGAUGAGGAAUAGUUAUUCUUCACCCCCUUCUAUUUUACCAUCAAUGCACCGUAAUUUUACAUUCUGUAAGUUUUGUCUUAUUUCCGACGCAAAAAGAGACCGUAAGAAAAUAUAUAAUCGCUGUAAAAAAUAUUUUAUGUUAUGUAAAAUUACAAACGUAAAAACAUAGUCUAAAAUACACAUAAACUGCAAAUUUUCUUGUUUUAUGACCUAUAUUUUUAUUUUCUUAUGUCAAUUUUUACGUAGUGAAUUAAUAAAAAUAUAACUAUUUAAAUUCGAAACGUAAUUUAAUUAUGAAAUGAUCGUAAGAUUAACUCGAAUAAAGAAUAAUUUAUUUUACACCCUGAAUGAUGAAUAGUUAGAAUAACUAUUUCGAUCACGCCUCUAUAAGGCGUCAUCGUGCGUUCCCGAGAUCAACAGAAAACCUCCCCCACCCCGAUCCAAAAAUCCCCACGGCAGCGCAGCUCCACCCCAACCCACCUCCAGCCCCCGGCUCCGGCGAGCCUCCCGCCGACGACCCACCGCCGCUGACCCACGUGCCGCCCCACCCGACACCCCGCCCCCAUCUCCCCUGGCUUCGGUCGCCACCCCGCCCCCAUCGCCCCCAACUCCGGUCGCCGCCCCGCCCCAUCGCCCCUGAAUCCCGCCAUCACCCCACCUUCAUCUUCUCCCCGGAAGCUCCCGCUGCGCACACCCACCUGCGUUCCCCCGGAGAACCGACGCCACAUUAGUCGCCUACUUGCCCCGGCUCAUUCUGCCUGCCUCCUAUUCCAGAAAAAUUGGGGGCCAUCCGCGGGGAUCCAAGUUUUUGUCGGCUCCGCCAAGCGCCUCCCCACUCUGGCACGAUCCCCCAAGGUGGAGUUCGCGCGCUCCCCUUCUUACUCGUCCCGGUUCCCACACCUCCGCCUCCUCCUGAUUGCCCUGACGUGGACACAACGCCAUCCCAGUCCAGCCACGCAGCGUCAGGGAGGUCGGGGCCAUCGCGAGUAGCAGUCCAGAGCAGCCAAGGUGAGGGUGAGCACAACACUUCCAUCCCAUCCAUUUGAAGCACGUUUGUGAUUUUUUUGCAGGUAGCACGUUUGUGAUUUUGGGUAGUAACAAUGUUCAUGCCCGCGUACACUGCCGCCGCUCACCUCCCCACGACCUGCAUACAUACAGAGUUGAGAGUUCUAACUUGUUGCAAAAGUUCAAAAAGAAGAAUAUAUGCAGUCCAACUUAUUCUAGCAUAAUGCUUCUCCUUUGAAUCUAGAUGCUACAAACAGUCCUCCUUUGUGAAUAUGAACUGAAUGUUGUUGUUUUGAUGUUCUAUAGAAAGUGUACUGAAUUUUGCAGUUUUAUCCUUUUUACACGCACUAUUGUUCGAGCUGGCGGCCGCGAGACCCUGUGCCUCCACGGGCCUCGUCUCCCGCUAUCGGCGACGGCACUCCCUUCCUCCAACGCAUCGCCGACGAGGCCAACCGCCUACACCGUCUUCGGCUGCAACGAUGUCGUCGUCCGACGAGGCCAACCGCCUACACCAACUUUGGCUGCAACGACGCCGUCUCUCUCCGUGAACCUUCUUGUCUCCUCUGUACGUCAGUUUGAUUGCCUAUAAACAAAAUUCUAUAAUUUUCAUGUCUGAAAUUAAGGAGUUCAUUAUAUCCAUUACAAAAAAAUGUUGAAUUUUUAGAAGUUCUAGUACGUAUGUUAGAAGAGUUCAUUGACAAAAGAAAAUCAUCAGUUCUUAACAGUUAAAAGAAAUGAGCUUUGCAAUGUUUAUGGUGCAGAAAAUUUCAUGACCGGUGUUCAUUUGGGAUGAACAUUUGUACAUACCCUGUUUUUACUUUACUCGUGAGGACUGAGGAGAUGAAUGUGUGACAGUCGAUCUUCAUUGGUGAAAGAUAAAAAGAAAUGGCAUUCAGUUCAGAGAAACAAUUAUAACGAUGGUAUUUUUCUCUAAACUUUCAUCUACAUGUGUUUGAGAUUAUGUCUUCAGGCCAUAGCUAUUAAUUCUCCCUGAACCUUUUUGUGCGCCUGGUCAUUUUCAGGCUACAUCUAUUUUCUCUUUGAACACUUCUAGGGGCUAAAAAAAGGCUGGGGAAUGUAGCAGUGUGUAUGUGCUGGCUGAUGCUUUCUCAGAACUACUCUUUGAGAAAGAAAUGGUGCGUUGAGAGAAAAGAAAAGUGCAGAGAAGGCAACUGGUGUGUUGAGAGGAAAGCAAAGUGCAGAGAAUGCUCCAAGAACAGAGCUGCAUGUUCUUCAGUUUCCAUCUUUGUGCUCACAUCACAAGAGCUCAGCUAAAGAAAAUAGAGAAAAUCAACACUUCAGAUCUUUAUAUGUACAGAAAAUCGUUCCAGAAAGUACAUGUUAAAAAAAGCCUCUGUUGUAGUUAUAAACAAAUAUACACUUUACUAAAUCCUGUCGGCAAAAUCAAUCAUUGUGAAAAAGUCAGUGCACCGAUCCAAAAAUAUUUUAGUUUAUAAACAAUUAACCUAAAUUCAAAUUAAGAAAACACACACAUGAUUUAUCUUUGUACUAAAAAAUUAUUUUUUGAUUUACAAAAAAACAAAGAAGGUCAAAUUAAAACAAGGUAGAAUAAUUCACAGCAGUUUUAAAGAAAAAGGAUUUUCCUCGUUUCUUAAAUAAACUAGAAGUUCAAAUUUAAAUAACGGGGAAACUCGAUGUUUAUUACAGCACAAAUAACGCUGCCCAGAGUGGCAUAAAAGAUGCAUCAUCAAGUCCUCUGUGUGUGCGCUUCUGUGUCGUGCCGACACAACAUUGUUGUAUAGCUCCUCCUGGAUUGCGCUAUGUGCAGGUCGAACAAAAUGUUCAUAGCAAGUCAAAUGAAAAACUAGUGGUAGGCUGAAAAAAUGUUUGCUCGUGUGCUAGUGCCAUGGAAUAGUUGGAGCUUUUUUAGUUGUUCUUUGUGUAAUACUAUUACAUUGAAGUUCAAACUAAAAAAUGAUCAUUUCAAAAAUUAUAAAAAAGCAUUCCCCGUUUUCCUAUACCAUUACAUUAAAGUUCAAAUUAAAAAAUGAUCAUUUUAAAAAUUAUAAAAAAGCAUUCCUCAUUUCUAGAAAAAGCCUAUUGGUUCAAAUUAAAAAGACGAAGAAGUUCAAUGCUUGUUACAAACCCAAAGAAGGUCAUUAAAAAAAG